AUGAAUGACUCCCAAGUGUUCCGAACCGCUUUCACCCAGAACCCCUCCUCGGUCUUAAUCGUUUCAGUAGCAAAUAUCGGUAUAGACGAAGUGUUGGUGGACACCUUGACAUUACGUUCAUUCCAGAUCUCCCAUGAAACUAUUAAGUUUCAUACACCGACCAGUAGAACCAAAAGGCCUAACAGAUGGAGAAGGUUGGGCAACCCUAAACGUAUACAGAAAAGGGGCAAUCGAUUUAUUUAUUUAAACCACGAAAGCCAAGAGUUGAACCCAAAACCUCUUGGCUCUGCUACCAUAUUAAGUUUCAUGCACCAAAUAGUAGAACUGAAAGUCCAAGCUGAUGGAGAAGGUUGGGCAAUCCGCAUAUACUUCAACAGAGACAAGCCUGGCGGCCGAAAGAAUUCCUUUUCUUUGUGGCCCUCUCUCCGAGGAGAUAGCUAA
rnacentral:rRNA from 1 species